GAGCAGACGACACGACACAGCACGGCCUUAUCGCAAUGCCUUGCACAUAAAAGUGACACCCAUAAUUUGUCUGUACUCGUCACCAGUCCAACACAAGUCUUUCACUCGAAAGUCCGGGGCACUCAGCAAAAAGAGACACAGGCCUAAGAAGAGAAACGACAGAAUGGCGGCUGAUGAUGAUGAGUCCAUUCAGCUCACUGGAAACACUUGUGUGGACUGCAUCAACGUGUUCACGUGUUUCGUAUGCGAGCGCUGCGUGCUUUUUCUUCAAUAUUGCUGCUGCUGCGGAUACAGGGACGAAAGGUAAAAGCCUACCAUUGAUUGGGAAACAUUUCUUCUUACUGCCACUGGACAUCGAGAUGGCUAUGGGAAACAAGAGUUACGUGGUCAAAAUUCACACUCUUCCAGACUGCUUUCAAGUGACAAAGCCAGUAACUACGCAAACGAUUGGUGACAUCCCCCUUUGUCACUAUUUUGAGUGUCGUGACCUGCAGGACACGUCCAGAAAACUUACCCAACAACAGCAUUAUGUAUGAUAUUUUCAGUGACAUAGUGUAAUGAUGAUAUCAAUACGUCUAGAAAGCACACAGCAAAAUCAGCGGACACGAAAAUGUUUUCGCGAUAUAUGAAUUUCAAUGUUACAUAUUUUAAAUACCAAGGACAUAGUGUAUAAGAAAAAAAUUGGGACCUGAAAA